rnacentral:rRNA from 1 species
UGCCAGUAGUCAUAUGCUUGUCUCAAAGAUUAAGCCAUGCAAGUCUAAGUAUAAGCACUUAUACUGUUAAACUGCGGAAAGCUCAUUAUAUCAGUUAUAGUUUAUUUGAUGGUAAACCCACUACAUGGAUAACCGUAGUAAUUCUAGAGCUAAUACAUGCCUUGAAGCGGUAACUUCGGAAGCCGUGGACUUAUUAGAUCAAGAGCUGACCCUUUUCGGAGGAACAAGCUGAAUCAUAGUAAUUUCGCUAAUCGCAGUGGUUUUGUGCCGGCGAUGGGUCAUUCAAAUUUCUGCCCUAUCAGCUGUGAUGUUAGUGUAGUGGACUAACAUGGCAUAAACGGGUGACGGAGGAUUAGGGUCUGAUUCCGGAGAGGGAGCCUGAGAAAUGGCUACCACUUCCAAGGAAGGCAGCAGGCUCGUAAAUUACCCAAUCCCGAUACGGGGAGGUAGUGACAAGAAAUAGCAAUACCGGAUCUUCUAAGAUCUGGUAAUUGGAAUGAGUACAAUCUAAAAUCCUUAACUAGGACCCAUUGGAGGGCAAGUCUGGU